AAUUCAGCUUAGUUUACCCAUUAAAAUUAAAGAAAGUCCAAGCCUGGGAUGCUGUUUAGUCUUUUCUUGUGUGUUUGAGCUUGUCACUUGUCAGCAGAUCUGUCACAGGCAUAAAUUUCUUUCCUGUGAGUAUACUCCGAUUCUUUGUUAAAAUGGUUAGGAUUUGUGGUAUGUUGGGAUGUGUAAACAAAUUUGGAACUGGAAUACAAUUUUUCUGAAAUCCAAAAGUUAACGUAAAAAACAGUAUGUACAACGACAACACCAGAAGAAAAGACGAUCUUUGUAAAUUAACGUCAACAAGGACAAAACUGGUAUUUCAGAUCAACGAAUUUGCUCUAAUCAUUUCAUUACUGGUAAACCCAAUGAAGAUGAGAGUCACCCUGAUUGGGUACCGAGUGUAAAAUUGGGUACUAAAGAUGCACUUCUCAAUGAUGAGAAGACCAAAAGAGAUCAUCAUAGAUUUAUAAGACGACAAAAGAUCAACAAAACUGCUACUGAAGAAAAAGAAUCUACACAAAGUAGAGUUGCUGCUGAAGUUGUACAUGAUGAUCUUACUUCAACAAAUCCUGAUCAAGAAGACCUAGAUGACCCAGAUCACGAUACUUUAAACCUUCUUCAUUCCAAAGUUAAGCAAUGUGAAGAAAAAUUGGCUGAUAGAGGUUUCUUGAUAGAUGAAGCUUUGCAAAUACGUGGUGCUACGCUAGUAAUGCCUACUUUUAAAGGAAGGAGACUGCAGCUCGAAGGAUCAGAAACCGACAGAUCAAGAAUAAUUUCAAACGAGCGCAUUCAUAUUGAAAGAGGUAUAGGGAAUUUAAGGAAAAAAUAUACAAUAUUGAGAGGUCCGAUAAAAGUCCAGCACAUGUGUUCAGAUUCGUCUAAUUAUGCAUUCAUUGAUAAAGUUGUGACUGUUUGCUGCUGUUUGAUGAAUUCAAUGAGAUCUAUAGUUCCUCCGUGGUGAAAUUAUUCGUGAAAUACACUGUGUUUCUU